UACGUAGGCAGCGAGCGUUGUUCGGAGUUACUGGGCGUAAAGCGUGCGUAGGCGGCGGUCCAUGUCUGGUGUGAAAUCUCCCGGCUUAACUGGGAGGGUGCGCCGGAAACGGGGCUGCUGGAGUGCGGGAGAGGUAAGCGGAAUUCCCGGUGUAGCGGUGAAAUGCGUAGAUAUCGAGAGGAACACCGGCGGCGAAGGCGGCCAUCUGGACGAGGACUGACGCUGAGAUGCGAAAGCGUGGGGAGCAAACAGG
rnacentral:rRNA from 1 species